UAGGAUGAAGCUCAGUGGUAGAGUGCUUGCCUAGCUCUCUAGGUGAGAGAGCCUGGGUUCAAAUCCCAGCACUAA
rnacentral:tRNA from 1 species